rnacentral:misc_RNA from 1 species
AGUGUCAGAUGUGGAGCACUGUUUAAUUUUUUUGUUUUUGUUUUUUGAAGCUCUAGUAAAAUAUAGUGAAGGAGUUAGGUUAAAGUUCAUCCUUUACCUGAUCUUUUGAAUGCUUUCAACUUGACACUGAAACUGCAUAUUCUGUCUAUAUGUGAUGAACUAUGAAGAAAGGAAUUGCAGUUCUACUGAGCUCUGAAAAGAAACCUUUAGCUGACAAUUGUUAAACUGAAUAUAGCUAGAGUUGGGCGGUUCAUUGUCUUGACUUUUAAACCACUAUUGGUGCAUCUCCCUUGAUAUAUUUAUGUGAAAUUGCAGUACUACUGAGCUCCUAAAAAAGCGAUAGAUCAAUGUUAAACUGGAUAUAGAUUUGUAGAGUUGGGUGUUUAUUUUCUUGAUUUUUUUUACCACAAAUGGAGUAUUGCAAUUGAUACAUUUAUUUGAAGAUUGACUUUAUUGUUAGCUAGUGG